rnacentral:rRNA from 1 species
CAUGCAAGUCGAACGGAGCUUAGAGAGCUUGCUUUUUAAGCUUAGUGGCGAACGGGUGAGUAACGCGUGAGUAACCUGCCCUAGAGUGGGGGACAACAGUUGGAAACGACUGCUAAUACCGCAUAAGCCCACGGUGCCGCAUGGCACUGAGGGAAAAGGAUUUAUUCGCUUUAGGAUGGACUCGCGUCCAAUUAGCUAGUUGGUGAGGUAACGGCCCACCAAGGCGACGAUUGGUAGCCGGACUGAGAGGUUGAACGGCCACAUUGGGACUGAGACACGGCCCAGACUCCUACGGGAGGCAGCAGUGGGGGAUAUUGCACAAUGGGGGAAACCCUGAUGCAGCGACGCCGCGUGGAGGAAGAAGGUUUUCGGAUUGUAAACUCCUGUCGUUAGGGACGAUAAUGACGGUACCUAACAAGAAAGCACCGGCUAACUACGUGCCAGCAGCCGCGGUAAAACGUAGGGUGCAAGCGUUGUCCGGAAUUACUGGGUGUAAAGGGAGCGCAGGCGGGAAGACAAGUUGGAAGUGAAAACCAUGGGCUCAACCCAUGAAUUGCUUUCAAAACUGUUUUUCUUGAGUAGUGCAGAGGUAGAUGGAAUUCCCGGUGUAGCGGUGGAAUGCGUAGAUAUCGGGAGGAACACCAGUGGCGAAGGCGGUCUACUGGGCACCAACUGACGCUGAGGCUCGAAAGCAUGGGUAGCAAACAGGAUUAGAUACCCUGGUAGUCCAUGCCGUAAACGAUGAUUACUAGGUGUUGGGGGAUUGACCCCCUCAGUGCCGCAGUUAACACAAUAAGUAAUCCACCUGGGG